rnacentral:rRNA from 1 species
UACGGAGGGUGCAAGCGUUAAUCGGAAUUACUGGGCGUAAAGCGUGCGUAGGUGGUUCGUUAAGUCCGUUGUGAAAGCCCCGAGCUCAACUUGGGAAUUGCAGUGGAUACUGGCGAGCUAGAGUGCGGUAGAGGAAGGUGGAAUUCCCGGUGUAGCGGCGAAAUGCGUAGAGAUCGGGAGGAACACCAGUGGCGAAGGCGGCUUUCUGGACCAGAACUGACACUCAAGCACGAAAGCGUGGGGAGCAAACAGG